CCUACGGGUGGCUGCAGUCGAGAAUCAUUCACAAUGGGGGAAACCCUGAUGGUGCGACGCCGCGUGGGGGAAUGAAGGUCUUCGGAUUGUACACCCCUGUCAUGUGGGAGCAAAUUAAAAAGAUAGUACCACAAGAGGAAGAGACGGCUAACUCUGUGCGAGCAGCCGCGGUAAUACAGAGGUCUCAAGCGUUGUUCGGAAUCACGGGGCGUAAAGCGUGAGUAGGCUGUUUCGUAAGUCGUGUGUGAAAGGCGCGGGCUCAACCCGCGGACGGACGAUGAUACUGCGAGACUAGAGUAAUGGAGGGGGAACCGGAAUUUUUGGUGUAGCAGUGAAAUGCGUAGAUAUCGAGAGGAACAGUCGUGGCGAAGGCGGGUUCCUGGACAUUAACUGACGCUGAGGCACGAAGGCCAGGGGAGCGAAAGGGAUUAAAUACCCGGGUAGUC
rnacentral:rRNA from 1 species